AGCAGCUUGUGCUUCCCAUUUGGGCAUGAGCCAAGUUAUAACCUUGUCUCACUGCACAUGUCUGUAUAAAUGCACCCCAUUUGUGGUCUGUCAGAAAUCUAGGUUGUGUGCAACCAAUUACAUCAGUAAUUAAAGAAGCAACAAACAUUUCAUUAUGCACUUUUGGUGGGAGAGGAGAAACAUACUCCCCCCAAACAUCCUGUUAAAAGCACAUUGGUCUGUGCAAGCGUAUCAUCAGGCAAGAAGUCUAAUCACCUGACACUUUAUUUAUUUGCAAAAUAUGCAAACUAGGAGGAUGGAACUUCCAGAAAUUCUCACAGAGAAAAUAUAAGGUGACAGAAGCAUACAUCCGAACACCCAAACUGACCUUCUGUGGAUGAGAUAUUCCCCUAACUUUCAUUGAUAUCCCCACUGGUUUUUAAACUCACCCAUAUAGAGCAAAAUGAGAACAAGCUACUGUGAACCUUGCUGUAACAAAAUCCAGCUGCUUAACUUUAACACCAGUCACAAAACUUGGUACUUCAAAUGCUUGAACCAUGGCAGCAGCACCUUGCAUUUUCAAACAGCAUGGUUAAUUCAUCUGAUAAUUCUUAACAAGCUACAAGGACAAAAGCUUAGAAUAGGAGGCAAAGAAGAAUUAAUGGCACUGCAAGCAAUGAAUAAGUGUGAAAGAAGAACUUCCUUCACUGGAGACAAAAUGAGGAGGAUGGUUGAAACAUAAAAAAUUAGUAAUGACUCCGAGCUUUCAUUGUUUCCUUGAAGUACUAAAAAUAGAACAGUACUGAUGAGCUGCAUUUCUUUUUAGUCAUCCAGAAGAACAGAAUGCCUAAGAUCUGGUUGACUUCAAUGGUAAAACCCUUAGAAAAAAAGGAUAAGAUGAACUUUCUGUGUUCUAUUCUUAUGCCUUGCAAGCAAAGUAACAUCUUCAGCAACCACUCCUGCCAUCUCUUUGCCAAAACAUGAACAAAGAUUACCUUAAAGAGCUGUCCUUCAGAAGAUGAGUACAACAAUGAUGGUAUGCUGAGUACAGCCCAGAAAGGAUUCAGAACACAUCCCAGAAACUGUGAAUAAAUGCUUAGGUCAAGGCGACACUUAGUCUAAGCCCAACUCUUGAAGAUCUCCAGAAGCUGUUUAAACAUAGAUCUGCUCUGAACUUCCCAUAGACUAGUUGGAAAUUACGGAAGUAUGAAAGUAUGAAAGGUGACAGGUAUUUUAUUUAUGCAAAUAGUGUCUGUCUGGCAGUCCAGCAUCAGGUAAGAUUUUCAGUCAUCUAGAAGAAGAACAUUGACCUGGAGGAAGCAAACAAUGUGUCACUAAGAAUGAACAGGUAAACCAUGUUCACUAAAAGAGCUUUCAUCUCUUUCUGUAUAACUUAUGCAAGUCUCACAAACAGGUCAACAUUUUCUAAAUGGACACCUGCUGAACAACGGUUCAAAACUUGUUUAUCAAAGUGGAAUACUGAGGAGCAUCUUCGUUUUCCAGAAAUGCUUUGCAAAUCCUUUGGCAAAACAAAAAAACAAACAAACAAACAACAACAACAACAAACCCGCAAAAACAAGAGGUAACUUGAUCAAGACUUGGUUGAGUCAGUGUGUGGGUUGACCACACAAAUGCGAUGAACUCUGCUUUGACUUGUACUGUUCCACAGUAGAGUAAGGCUUCCUGGUGCAGAGCAGGGUAAGAAACACCAGAAUGAAAGCCUCUGUGUGGUACGGCUCUUGUCCUGAGCUUGGUCUGACUGGUUUUGUCCCACCCUUCUACCUUUUAAGACCAGAAACGCCACCUUGCAGAAUCUGCUCUUGAAGGAGUGACUCUUCAUGUCUGACUUGGCACAGCGAGGCAUCCAGUCCAUCAAGUUGGCAGUUGACUACAAGGCACCUUAUUUGCGCAGCUCCCCAUGGGACACCCCAAAUGAGAUACUCGGUGGCAAGUUGCACGGAGUAAUUAAUGCCGGCCCCAAGAAAGUCAGGAGCUCAGCUGUCUUCCUUCGACCCUCAUGCCAGCGAGGCCUCAGUGGGGCCUUCCCUACACCGCAAACACAGCCAGUUGUCAGAUGCGAGUCUGGUGCUUGCGGUCGGCAACGAUCGGUGGGGACCGGCCAUUCCCCUCGCCCAUUUCCCUUGCGCGUUCGCCACGUUCUCGGCUCAGAAGGACCUUCUGCCAACUCGCUUCGGGCUGGAAAACGCACGGGGACACUCGCCGCGGGCUGGGCCCAGCGGGCGGCGGGGGUCGGAGCGGGGCGGCUGCG
ensembl:lncRNA